AGUGCCCAAAUACUUCCGUGUCUGCUCCAAAGUUAUUAUUGUUAUGACGCGUUCAAAAGAAUUUCAAGCGUUUUGCGGGCUGGAAAAGGGCGAAAAACGACCGCGUCCCUCCGCGUGCAAACUCCACAUUGGUUCCAGCUUGGAUGAAUGGAAAACAAAACAAAACAAAACACUUUUGUCAUCGUAAAUCGUCUCUCGAUUCUUUGUUCGACAUCAACACGCGCUUCACGACUCUCAACAUGAUGAAUUUCGAAUAAACUUCAAGCAAUUGAGAAACUAGCAGUUAAAAAAAAAAGUGUUUUCCAUUUGAAAGCGCAAAAACAAAACACAUUAUGCACAUCUGCGGCCCCGCCUGUGUGGAGUUCGCAUGUUCUCCCCGUGCCCGCGUGGCUUUUCUCCGGGCGUUCGUCUAUUUGUACCCCGCCCGGCGCCAGCUGGGAUGGGCCCCGGCACGCCCGCGGCCCGCGGCAGGAGAAGCAGGAUGGACUUAACUCGAGAAAUGAGAAGGAAGAAGACCUAACCCUUUCACGUCAAUGAAACAUUUCAAGUCGGCGUUUUUGCGCACAAAACAAACUAGAAAGCAGCACAGGAAGAAAGAAGAUACGACACGCUUUUCGACGGGACUGCAGUGACUCUCAAAGCGUGGCACGCGGGCUCUCUCUGGUGGUGAGCAAAAGAAUCACUUCGUCACUACAGCACCGAACCAGACUGCGAUGGAAGAACACAGGACCGAUUCGAUGACCGCUGUGUAGAACCGCCUCAGCAUCUCCCGUGGCAGGCCGUGCUUCCUCAGAAGCCGCAGGAAUGUGGCGUCCGUUCCCGUCACGGCGACAACGCGACUGAUUCCUUUGACCAACUGUCGUUCGGACACGAUCACCAGGUCGCCGAUGGAAGCCGUCUGCACCAGCAGAGUUCCACCGACGUGCGUUCGACUGCGGGAUGGUCCAAAAGUUCGGAGACGGGAACUGACACCGAGACCACUCGAACUGGGUCGGGGUACGCCUGAAGACAGGAAGUGUCAGACAGUAAGCGGCAGACGGGCU